AUUGAACGCUGGCGGCAGGCCUAACACAUGCAAGUCGAGGGAUGACGGGAGCUUGCUCCUUGAUUCAGCGGCGGACGGGUGAGUAAUGCCUAGGAAUCUGCCUGGUAGUGGGGGACAACGUUUCGAAAGGAACGCUAAUACCGCAUACGUCCUACGGGAGAAAGCAGGGGACCUUCGGGCCUUGCGCUAUCAGAUGAGCCUAGGUCGGAUUAGCUAGUAGGUGAGGUAAUGGAUCACCUAGGCGACGAUCCGUAACUGGUCUGAGAGGAUGAUCAGUCACACUGGAACUGAGACACGGUCCAGACUCCUACGGGAGGCAGCAGUGGGGAAUAUUGGACAAUGGGCGAAAGCCUGAUCCAGCCAUGCCGCGUGUGUGAAGAAGGUCUUCGGAUUGUAAAGCACUUUAAGUUGGGAGGAAGGGCAGUAAGUUAAUACCUUGCUGUUUUGACGUUACCGACAGAAUAAGCACCGGCUAACUCUGUGCCAGCAGCCGCCGUAAGAC
rnacentral:rRNA from 1 species